CGUCAGCCUUGGGUGAUUGGUGUCCAGGAGCAGAUCGAAAGCUUGACUAAGCGUCUGGAGGAGGCUGAGGAGGUGAUGAAGUUCGUACCGAGUCUGAAAAACCAGAUUGAGACACUAGAGGCACAGGCUAAAGGGCUCACUCGGCAGGUUGAUCGCCUCACUGCGGAGGUUUAUAACCUCACGGUGCAAGUAGCUGACCUGGAGAAGCUCUGCUUCGAAUAACCACCAAAGGUCACGGGUUGGAAGGCCAGGGUGUUGCAGGUCACGGGUUGGAAGGUUGCGGGGUGUUUCAGGUGAAGGAUUUUGUUUGUUUCUAUAUGUUAUUUGCGGAUACUUUAAGCCACGGGUAGUAGGACUUUAUGUCAAUUUUUAAUCCCGGAUGUAAA